rnacentral:tRNA from 1 species
GCGGACAUAGCUCAGUUGGGAGAGCGUCAGACUGAAGUCAACUUCAAUCAUUUAAUCUGAAGGUNCGUGUGUUCAAUCCACACUGGCCGCA